AACGAUGAAACUUUACUGACUUCUUCGGAAAGAUUUAAAGCGGAUUAGUGGCGGACGGGUGAGUAACACGUGAGUAACCUGCCUUACACAAGGGGAUAGCCGUUGGUAACGACGAAUAAUACCCUAUGAAACUAUCACUUCGCAUGAAGCGAUAGUCAAAGUGUUAGCGGUGUAAGAUGGACUUGCGUCUGAUUAGCUAGUUGGUGAGAAAAAAGCCCACCAAGGCAACGAUCAGUAGCCGGCUUGAGAGAGUGUACGGCCACAUUGGGACUGAGACACGGCCCAGACUCCUACGGGAGGCAGCAGUGGGGAAUUUUGCACAAUGGGGGAAACCCUGAUGCAGCGACGCCGCGUGAUUUAGAAGGCCUUCGGGUUGUAAAAAUCUUUUGUAUAGGAAGAAAAUGACAGUACUAUACGAAUAAGGUCCGGCUAAUUACGUGCCAGCAGCCGCGGUAAUACGUAAGGACCGAGCGUUGUCCGGAAUCAUUGGGCGUAAAGGGUACGUAGGCGGGUCAUUAAGUUAGAAGUCAAAGGCUAUAGCUCAACUAUAGUAAGCUUCUAAAACUGGAGACCUUGAGUAAUGGAAGGGAAAGUGGAAUUCCUAGUGUAGCGGUGGAAUGCGCAGAUAUUAGGAGGAAUACCGGUGGCGAAGGCGACUUUCUGGCCAUUAACUGACGCUGAGGUACGAAAGCGUGGG
rnacentral:rRNA from 2 species